rnacentral:rRNA from 1 species
UACGAAGGGGGCUAGCGUUGUUCGGAUUUACUGGGCGUAAAGCGCACGUAGGCGGAUCGUUAAGUCGGGGGUGAAAUCCUGGAGCUCAACUCCAGAACUGCCUUCGAUACUGGCGAUCUCGAGUCCGGAAGAGGUAAGUGGAAUUCCUAGUGUAGCGGUGAAAUGCGUAGAGAUUAGGAAGAACACCAGUGGCGAAGGCGACUUACUGGACUGUAACUGACGCUGAGGCAUGAAAGCGUGGGGAGCAAACAGG